rnacentral:rRNA from 1 species
AUUGAACGCUGGCGGCAUGCUUUACACAUGCAAGUCGAACGGCAGCGCGGGGGCAACCCUGGCGGCGAGUGGCGAACGGGUGAGUAAUAUAUCGGAACGUACCCAGAAGUGGGGGAUAACGUAGCGAAAGUUACGCUAAUACCGCAUACGAUCUACGGAUGAAAGUGGGGGACCUUCGGGCCUCAUGCUUUUGGAGCGGCCGAUAUCUGAUUAGCUAGUUGGUGAGGUAAAGGCUCACCAAGGCGACGAUCAGUAGCUGGUCUGAGAGGACGACCAGCCACACUGGAACUGAGACACGGUCCAGACUCCUACGGGAGGCAGCAGUGGGGGAAUUUUGGGACAAUGGGGGGCAACCCUGAUCCAGCAAUGCCGCGUGAGUGAAGAAGGCCUUCGGGUUGU